GCUAGGAUGAAGCUUCAACUGAUGAUAAACACUGAUUAAUUUACAUUUUAUCCUCUAAGAAGUGCUGAGCUA
rnacentral:snoRNA from 1 species